AGGAGUGUAGCUCAGUGGUAGAGCAUUUGCCUAGCAUGUGCUAGGCCCUAGGUUUGAUACCUAGCACUGCCA
rnacentral:tRNA from 1 species